ACUAAUUAACUUUUAACUCUAGUUGAAAUUGAAACAGAAUUUGCCUAUGAGAGUCGUGUAUUUCUUAGUUAACUAGGAUUCAACCAUGCAAAAUGGGGUGAGACCGUGAGAGUGAAAGAGUUUAAAUACAACCGCCAACCGGCCCCUGAUCUGCUAUAAAUCCAGAUAAACUUUGAGAUCAAGAGCCCAGAAAUAUAAUAGGCCAGCUUCUGGACCGCUGAAAUACAAAAUUUUUAGAACUGAAAAUUUAAAGUAUGGAGCAGUUCGCACGUGGGGCUUUUUCGACGUUUGAAGAGUUGUGUUAUUGCAACAUUUCUCAGCAGCAUUUCUUGCAUAUGCAAACAAGACAGACAAGGAUAAGAAGUAUCAGCACCCCAGCAAGAGCUCCUGCAACCCACAGUGGAACUACAGAUAGAGGGGCAAGAUUUUUUAAUGUUUUGGCUAAUCUGCUGUCACGGCGGGGCGUCCUAUGCAUGGUUCUGAAACUCAAACAUAACACUUCCAGACCAAGGAGAUUCUGCACCACUUUUUCAUAACAAGUUGAUACAACAUCCCGGUUGAAAAAAUACUUCCCGACUCUGUCCAGGAGCUGAUGUGAUAUUUUCUGUCUCCAUGACAAUGUUGCAUUGUCCAAUCAGGAUAUCCGCACAU